rnacentral:lncRNA from 1 species
UUUAGUUGUGCAAUUUUCACUCCAUCCUUCACCAUUGGAGGGUAGUACUUGAGUUGCAUGCUUGGUUUGGGGUUCGAUUACCUUGAACAACUUCAGCAAAAGUUUGCUUCUGCGAUUCAACUGAGAAAGUGAGCUUCCUCGCUGUUGUUGUUGUUGUCAUAUCUGGUUCAUUCAAUCGCCUUUUUGAUUCCUCCUUCUCCGAUACUGGUUGCAUAACCGUCGGGGCACUGCUCGUUCCAGGGAACCAUUGUAGCAGUGGAAUUGGAGUUAAUUUCUAUGGGAUUCCACUUUCUGGAGUUACUAUUCGAGCCAUAGAUAGUGUGGUGGAGUAAUUUUUUGUAGGAGAUGGUUAUGUUAGUGGCCGGCGGCGGUGAGCGAGCUGCUUUCCGUCGCCAGAGACUCUCUUUC